CCCUCGGAUGUCGUUCUAUCUCAUUCGGCACAUGUACGUGUUUGGGAAGUCAAGUCUUUGUGUACCCAUGCUAUAAUUGGUCUUGAUUGCUUUGAAGUUGGAAUAUCUGCACUUAGUUUUUCAAAUGAGAAUGAUGGCAAAUGGUUAUUAAUAGUGGACAAUAGUAAACACCACAUCAUAAGUGUUUGGGACUGGAACGAAGAUUUGUUGCUGGCUCAAAACGAGGUAAGAGACAAGAAGAACUGCGCCAAUCACGUACGGUAAUUUACCUAGAUAAUUGUAUUAUUAUGAAAAGUGGUGUCUACGCGGGGUUGGCGUAGUUAUGUUGGUGGCCGUGAUAACAUUUUUAUUCAUUGCUUUCUAAGCAACUUUCUUUGCGAACUUUUUUUUUUUCAGGAAUAUGAAAUAAUAAUUGCUAGAACAGACGAUGUUGAGGUAGAAUGAUUGCUGUGCCAUAGGUCUAUACUAGCAUGUUGCAUUAGUUUGAGCCAACUGAUGAAUAAUUGACUGAUGAGAGACUGACUGGCUAAUUAACUGACUAUGAUUAGCUGAGUGGUUUUUGACUAAUUGACUGACUAAUUGGCUGGCUGCGUGAAUGACUGAUUGUCUGAGUGACAGUGAGUGAGUGAGUGACUGACUUAUUGUCUAAUUGGCUGACUGGCUGGCUGAGCGAGUGAGUGAGUGAGUGAGUGACUGACUGACAAACUGUCUGGAUGACUAGUUGACCGAAUGACAAGUUGAAUGACUGACUGUCUAAGUAACUGACUGACUAAUUGACUAACUGAAUGACUGGAUGAGCGAAUGGUGCUGACUAGUUGAGUGACGAACUGACUAGAUGAGUGACUGCUGUCUGAGGGAGUGAGCGAGUGACUGGUUAAUUGCCUCACUGACUGGCUGCUGAGUGUGUGACUGACUGACUGACUAAGUUGACUGACCAAAUGGCUACUUGACUGACUGACAGACCGACCGACCGUGUAACUGACUGACUAGUUGAUUGGCAGAAUGACUAGUUGACUGACUGACCGUGUAACUGACUGACAAGUUGACUGACAGAAUGACUAGUUGACUGACUGACCGUGUACAGACAGACAAGAAUACUCACUCGUUCAUUAAUUGAUACUGAUUGACAUAAUACUGACUAACCGACUUCCAAAGAAAUUGGGUAGUGGUGACUUAUUAAUUGAUACGCCUGUAUUCAUUGACUGAUUGACUGUUUAAAACAUUGUAUUCUUCAGAAUAUUUCUUUCAUCAAAUGUGUAUGCUGUGAUAGAAAAAAAAGAUAAAUACAAAAGCAUUUCAUAGAAACAAUGUAGAGCACUUGCACUGACUUACUUAACCCUACUAACAUUAUAUAUAUAUACCGCCCUGUA